CUUAUUGUGAUGGAUAAGAUAUCGCCCCAGUCUGAAUUAUCUGACUGAAUCGAUAUCACUGAUUAUA
rnacentral:snoRNA from 1 species